rnacentral:lncRNA from 1 species
AUGUGUCAACAAUUUCGUGUCUCUUCAUGUCUGAAAAGCAGCGUACCUUGCCAAAUUGGUAAUGUAUUUCUGCGAGGCGCAGCGCCUGCCAAGCACGUCUCCGCGCAGCACGCAGGAACAUCUCGCGCCCUGUGCUCAGCACACCCCACACCCGCUGCCCUCACCCAUGGGACUGCAGGACCCCGAGAGCCCCCGGAGCCACUGCUGGGACCCUCUGUGCCGUGUCCCCUGUGCCGUGUGUCCCCUGCGCCCUGUCCCCCCUGCACCACAGUCAGCGUGGUGCUGCGGGUGCCUGUCUGCAGGGCUGAGCCACGCUCCUGCUCCCAGCGCCGAGGCGGGGCGCAGCCGUCUCCCCGCUGGGCACGGGGCAUCUGCGCAGCCUCCACGUGUGGCAGCGUCUCACUUUGUGAUGAAUCGCAUUGUUUCUGCGAGAACGGCGCGUACCAGGAGCAUGCCCAGGGUCUCACAGGUCACUUGCUGGAGGUAUUUUUAGACAGACAAGGAUGAGCUUCCCUUUUUUUGUACGAAGAUGCGUUUGCCCGAAUCCUUCAAGCCAAAAUUUCCCCAGCUCUCAGCUGUGUGCAGGCGGCUGCUCAGAAGUACAGCAGGUAAGGGGAGCCAUGAACACGGAGACAAAAAAUAACGCCUGGCAAGCACGUCACACACCCAGGCAGUAUGGGGGGGUAGGGACUAGGGGCAGCUCAGCCUUCGGGCAGCGCCUGCCGUGGCUGCGGGGCACACACGGUGUGUGGGGCAGCCCGGGCACCGCUUGGCCCUUGCCGAGGCAGCAAGGGGGGGCUGAAUCUCAGGGGUCUGGAUCUCGGGGAUGGUGGGGGCUUCCUCUCCAGGCAGGGCAAGCAGGCGCUGGCAGCCCCCCGGUGCCUGUCCCCACCCGCCCCACACGGGGGGAUGUUCCUGUGUGUGUCCGCACACACAUUCAGCUCCACCACAAGCAGGCGUUGCAGUGAUCUAUGGAUCUCAGCCCGAGGCCGGUUCGGGUCCAUUUUUCUUACUGGCACACUGAAAUACUGAAAUCUGUGCCUAAGUUUUGCUAACCAAAACUAACAGGUAGCAACAGCUGGAUUUAUGUCCAGCCCGUUCCCUUCGCACACCCACACACUGCUAUAGUUCAGCAUUAAUUGGGCUGACUGGGAAUUUCCAUUUGCUCGCUAGUGUGCUUUCUUCUCUGGUUAGGGAUACAUCAUCCCUUUGAGUUAAAUCAGCUGUUAAAAGAACAAAACAUUCAGUUUAAUGGAAAUCAGUGGUAUAAAAUCCUAGAUUUUGCAGAAAGUGCGUUAAGAGGCAAAGCUGGAAGGAAUUCAGCUUCAGCUACACCAGCUAGAAACCUAUUCAGCUACAAAAGCAUAUGCUGGAGUUAUGGAGGAAAAGGUGCUAAUGUAACAUGUUUUAUGGUUGUGCUCCAAAAUAAGAACAGAUUAGUGAUACAAGCAGGAAGACGCUAAUUUGCUGGCUGCAGAUGAAGUCAUGUAACAGUAUGGCUGCUAAAAAAUAUGCCUUUUUCUUUACUCACUUAAGAGCUUGGACCUUUAACUGUUGAAGCACUGCAGGCAGGAUGUGCACACUUAGCAGUACGUGAGAUUUCCACUCCCAGCACUGCCAGGCUCUGAAGGGAGGUGCCGAGACAUGCGCUGGGGAUGAAGCAGGAGGGACAGUGGCUGCUCAUGGACCUCUGGUGGCACAGGGCAGUGGCAGUGUCCUUGGCAGGUCCGUGGUGCCGAGGAGCAGCGGAGGAGGGAGCCUCCCCGCCCUGUGCUUGCCUCCCUCUGCCCCCCAUCAGGAGUGGGACUGGCCCCCGGCUGGCAGAAGAGGGGCAAAGUAAGGAAGGCAGAGCUACCAGGUGGGGUGGGCAAUGCUCAGCAAAGAGCCAGAUAUCGAGCCGCUGCAUUAACUGGGGUGCAUAAAGGGAAAAGGGAAGCCUGGAUGAAGCAGGAGCAAUAAAGGAGACAAGAAUGCCA